GAUGAACGCUGGCGGCGUGCCUAAUACAUGCAAGUCGAGCGAACAGACGAGGAGCUUGCUCUUCUGAUGUUAGCGGCGGACGGGUGAGUAACACGUGGAUAACCUACCUAUAAGACUGGGAUAACUUCGGGAAACCGGAGCUAAUACCGGAUAAUAUAUUGAACCGCAUGGUUCAAUAGUGAAAGACGGUCUUGCUGUCACUUAUAGAUGGAUCCGCGCCGCAUUAGCUAGUUGGUAAGGUAACGGCUUACCAAGGCAACGAUGCAUAGCCGACCUGAGAGGGUGAUCGGCCACACUGGAACUGAGACACGGUCCAGACUCCUACGGGAGGCAGCAGUAGGGAAUCUUCCGCAAUGGGCGAAAGCCUGACGGAGCAACGCCGCGUGAGUGAUGAAGGUCUUCGGAUCGUAAAACUCUGUUAUUAGGGAAGAACAUAUGUGUAAGUAACUAUGCACGUCUUGACGGUACCUAAUCAGAAAGCCACGGCUAACUACGUG
rnacentral:rRNA from 1 species